CAUCGAAUCUCAAGCAACAUCUGAGGUGCCAACAUGAUGCCAUAUGGAAGAAGGAUUAUUCCCUCUGGAUCCUUCUAUUCCUCUGGCUGCUGCUGGUCACUGCUCCACUUUUCUCCUGGAUCUCUGGAAUCGGCUCCGUCACAAGCUAUAGAGUAACCACCCAUCUGGCCUUCACUCCUUCUUCUGGGCACAGACUGAACUUUACCAGGGUGGUGGACAUUAUCAGAUAACCAGAUUCUCCAGGACAGCAGAGCUAAGAUGAAACAGCAGUCUGGAGCUGAGACAGAAGCAGAAAUAUUGACAGAGAGAGAACCUGAACUGAUACCAGGCAGCCAGCCGUACCCACUCUGGAGCUAAGGAACCACAGCAAGAGAUCGGAGGAACCUGCUGUGAAAACAGCGCCCCAGAGCAGGGUCAUGCCAGAGGUUUGCUGGUGCUAGUACAGGAGGAGAAUGGAGGACAACAGCAGAAUACUGGAGAAGCCCAAACCAUGUAAGGGCUAGGAGAGGCUAUGGCUGGCCUGGGCAGGCUAAACAGACUAACUGCUGAGGAUCAAAUAUGGAUGACAGAUUGGAGAAGUCGGCCAGGAGGACAGCACAAAUGAAGGAGGAGCUGGCCGGGAGGAGACCAGUAGAGUCUCUACUGGUUCAGUCUCAGGUCCCCACACAAGGCACAGAUAGGAAGCAACACCCAAGUCUGCCAGUCGAGGAGCUCUGUCUCUGAGCCUGUUCACCGCGUAGCACAUAAUCUAUUUUUUUUUUUUGCUAAAUUCAAGUAAUGAAGCAGAAAUGUAAACAGCUCCUCCUACUUGAUGACGCGGUCUGCCGUGAAAUUACCGCGCAUCUGAGACGCAAUUUGGUCAACAAUUCGCAGGAAAUGACUGCCGACACCAAGUUUGGUGUGAAUGCAACUUUGUAGUUUUCCACAUGUUCAUUCCUCUGGUGAUCAUCAGGGAGAGGAACACGACUUGGAGAAAAAGGGUUAGAGCAUAAAGCAACUGAUAAAGGAGAUAAUGUUCCAGAAUCUCUGGAGAUGAUUCAAAAGUGAAGAAGAUGUGGACACCAACGAGUAUCCUCUACAGAAGAUUGUCUUCAGUCAGAGGCCUCUCCGGAUCUGCUGCAAGACAGACCGCUACAAAAGAUCCUUCCUGCCAACAGCAUCAGCAAAACCUGGAUAAAAAAAAACGCAACAAUAAAUUACCCUUUAUGAUUUACAAA